GAAACCACCCUUUCUCUGUUAGCCCUGGGAAAGGCAGGAAACCAAGGCUCUAGCCUCCAAGUAGUGAAAAGAAAAUACCUUUCACCUACCACCCAUAUGGUAUGAGAUUCUGAAGGCCAAAUUCCUGACAGAAGCCCACGGCAGCCUUUCUCUGGGGAACUGUCUUCUGAGGAUGAAUUCUCAGGUACUGGCACCAUGGAUUUCCAAGGGCAGCCACACGAAGUGGCUGUGUGUCAUGGCAUGGCCUCUGUGGGACUCCGUUUUUCCAGCGCCUGAAAAUAGAGAGAAGACGUAGAGAAGACAGUGUCUGGUAAGGUCCCUAGUUUGAAAUCCAGGUGGUCCU